rnacentral:lncRNA from 1 species
CGGGACUGGAACCGGCACUUGGCACCCCUUACGCCUUACGGUGGCCGCUGCGCCCAGUCACAUCUAUUGCAUUUCUCUGGAAUGACCACAGCAAUAUUUCCAGCCCUUGAUGAUCUUCUAGAACUUUGCCACUUCCCUGCAUCAAGAGGUAUAACCUCAUCCUGGAGCAGGGCACCCUAUCGUCAGAUGGUAUCAUCUUUAAGGGGUUGUCUCAGCCAUGCCUUUAGAAUUACCUUUCAUUGCUUGUCAUGCUGGAAGCUUCUGAAUGUUGCAUUUUGUGAUAGAAACAGUGGGUACCAUGGUCAUGUGCUCACAUCUCCUUUGCGGUAAAGAAAAGGAUCACUCAUUAACAUCCACCAGAUAACAUUCUCCAUGAAAGCACCAAAUAAGGUUUGUCUUGGUCCAUUUUAUGCUGCUAUAACAGAACAC